rnacentral:rRNA from 1 species
GAUGAACGCUAGCGGCAGGCCCAACACAUGCAAGUCGAGGGGUAGAGGAAGCUUGCUUCCUUGAGACCGGCGCACGGGUGCGUAACGCGUAUGCAAUCUACCUUUUACAGAGGGAUAGCCCAGAGAAAUUUGGAUUAAUACCUCAUAGUAUUUUCGAAUGGCAUCAUUUGAUUAUUAAAGUUCCAACGGUAAAAGAUGAGCAUGCGUCCUAUUAGCUAGAUGGUAAGGUAACGGCUUACCAUGGCAACGAUAGGUAGGGGUCCUGAGAGGGAGCUCCCCCACACUGGUACUGAGACACGGACCAGACUCCUACGGGAGGCAGCAGUGAGGAAUAUUGGACAAUGGGCGCAAGCCUGAUCCAGCCAUGCCGCGUGCAGGAAGACGCAUCUAUGGUGUGUAAACUGCUUUUGUACGGGAAGAAACACUCCCUCGUGAGGGAGCUUGACGGUACCGUAAGAAUAAGGAUCGGCUAACUCCGUGCCAGCAGCCGCCGUAAGAC